UUAGCUGAGAGGUGGUGCAUGGCCGUCGUCAGUUCGUACUGUGAAGCAUCCUGUUAAGUCAGGCAACGAGCGAGGCCCACGCCCACAGUUGCCAGCGUACUCUCUGGAGUGACGGGUACACUGUGGGGACCGCCGCUGCUAAAGCGGAGGAAGGAAUGGGCAACGGUAGGUCAGUAUGCCCCGAAUAUCCCGGGCUACACGCGAGCUACAAUGGUUGGUACAAUGGGUAUCUACCCCGAAAGGGGACGGGAAUCUCCUAAAACCAAUCUUAGUUCGGAUUGAGGGCUGCAACUCGCCCUCAUGAAGCUGGAAUCCGUAGUAAUCGCGUUUCAACAGAACGCGGUGAAUACGUCCCUGCUCCUU
rnacentral:rRNA from 1 species